rnacentral:rRNA from 1 species
GCACUUUAAGCAGUGAAGAAGACUCCGUGGUUAAUACCCACGGACGAUGACAUUAGCUGCAGAAUAAGCACCGGCUAACUCUGUGCCAGCAGCCGCGGUAAUACAGAGGGUGCAAGCGUUAAUCGGAAUUACUGGGCGUAAAGCGAGCGUAGGUGGCUUGAUAAGUCAGAUGUGAAAUCCCCGGGCUUAACCUGGGAACUGCAUCUGAUACUGUUAGGCUAGAGUAGGUGAGAGGAAGGUAGAAUUCCAGGUGUAGCGGUGAAAUGCGUAGAGAUCUGGAGGAAUACCGAUGGCGAAGGCAGCCUUCUGGCAUCAUACUGACACUGAGGCUCGAAAGCGUGGGUAGCAAACAGGAUUAGAUACCCUGGUAGUCCACGCCGUAAACGAUGUCUACUAGUCGUUGG